rnacentral:rRNA from 1 species
CGGCGAGUGAAGAGGAAGAGCUCAAAGUUGGAACCUAUUUGGCUUAGCUAAAUCGGAUUGUAAACUGUAGAAGUGUUUUCCAGACACGCCUGGUAAAAAAGUCCUUUGGAACAGGGCAUCAUAGAGGGUGAGAAUCCCGUCAUUGGCCAGAGCUGUUGUCUUUUGUGAUACAUUUUCAAAGAGUCAGGUUGUUUGGGAAUGCAGCCUAAAUUGGGUGGUAAAUCUCACCUAAAGCUAAAUAUUUGCGAGAGACCGAUAGCGAACAAGUACCGUGAGGGAAAGAUGAAAAGAACUUUGAAAAGAGAGUUAAACAGUAUGUGAAAUUGUUAAAAGGGAACCGUUUGGAGCCAGACUGGCUUAAUCGUAAUCAAUCUAGGCUUUGGCCUGGAUGCACUUGCGGUUUAUGCCGGCCAACGACAGUUUUGUUUGGGAGAAAAAAUUACAUUGAAUGUGGCCCCUCGGGGUGUUAUAGCUUUGUAAAAAAUAUCCUGGACUGGACUGAGGAACGCAGUGAAUGCCUUUAGGCAAGAUUGCUGGGUGCUUUCGCUAAUACAUGCUAGAAUUUCUGCUUCGGGUGGUGCUAGUGUU